UGCAGAGAUGCGGGAGUGCCUUCGGGAAUUAGAAUACAGGUGCUGCAUGGCUGUCGUCAGCUCGUGUCGUGAGAUGUUGGGUUAAGUCCCGCAACGAGCGCAACCCUUGUCCUUAGUUACCAGCGGUUUGGCCGGGAACUCUAAGGAUACUGCCAGUGACAAACUGGAGGAAGGCGGGGACGACGUCAAGUCAUCAUGGCCCUUACGACCAGGGCUACACACGUGCUACAAUGGUAGGUACAGAGGGCAGCUACACAGCGAUGUGAUGCGAAUCUCAAAAAGCCUAUCGUAGUCCAGAUUGGAGUCUGCAACUCGACUCCAUGAAGUAGGAAUCGCUAGUAAUCGCGGAUCAGAAUGCCGCGAUGAAUACGUUCCCGGGCCUUGUACACACCGCCCGUCACACCAUGGGAGUUGAUUGCACCAGAAGUGGGUAGCCUAACCUUUUAGGAUGGCGCUCACCACGGUGUGGUUGAUGACUGGGGUGAAGUCGUAACAAGGUAACCGUA
rnacentral:rRNA from 1 species